GGAGUCUGGACCGUGUCUCAGUUCCAGUGUGGCUGAUCAUCCUCUCAGACCAGCUAGAGAUCGUCGCCUUGGUAGGCCGUUACCCCACCAACUAGCUAAUCCCACCUGGGCGCAUCUGAAUGCGACCGGUUGCCCGGCCUUUCCCCCCUCAGGGCUUACGCGGUAUUAGCACCCGUUUCCAGCUGCUAUCCCCCCUGCACAGGGUAGGUUACCCACGCGUUACUCACCCGUCCGCCACUAACUUAUCUCAAAAGCAAGCUUCCAAAAUAAGCCCGUUCGACUUGCAUGUGUUAAGCACGCCGCCAGCGUUCAUC
rnacentral:rRNA from 1 species